AGGUGGAGAUGACCAUCCUGAUUCUGGUUUCAAUCCAUACUAGUCUUUCUAUAUGUACAGAUAAUGUAGAAAACCUGGUAUGGAUUGUUACCAGGUUCAGAUUAUAUACUU